rnacentral:rRNA from 1 species
GAUGAACGCUGGCGGCGUGCCUAAUACAUGCAAGUCGAGCGAACGGACGAGAAGCUUGCUUUUCUGAUGUUAGCGGCGGACGGGUGAGUAACACGUUGAUAACCUACCUAUAAGACUGGGAUAACUUCGGGAAACCGGAGCUAAUACCGGAUAAUAUUUUGAACCGCAUGGUUCAAAAGUGAAAGACGGUCUUGCUGUCACUUAUAGAUGGAUCCGCGCUGCAUUAGCUAGUUGGUAAGGUAACGGCUUACCAAGGCAACGAUGCAUAGCCGACCUGAGAGGGUGAUCGGCCACACUGGAACUGAGACACGGUCCAGACUCCUACGGGAGGCAGCAGUAGGGAACCUUGCGCAAUGGGCGAAAGCCUGACGGAGCAACGCCGCGUGAGUGAUGAAGGUCUUCGGAUCGUAAAACUCUGUUAUUAGGGAAGAACAUAUGUGUAAGUAACUGUGCACAUCUUGACGGUACCUAAUCAGAAAGCCACGGCUAACUACGUG